UUUAGCGUUACCGUUCCGUGUCUGUGAGGCCUCUGUUCGACGAUCUUUUACGCUGGCAAUAUCAGAAAACGAAUCCACACGCACACGCCAGAUACCCUGAAUCACCCACCCAGAAGAAUACGAAAGGCAGAAAAAAGGGCACCCACAAUGCUCAUUCAUGCUCCCCAUGCCUCAACUCCCUCUCCCACUUAUCUCACCCACCACCCUCGCCGCCUUAACCCCAUGUUUCCGCGCUCGGCUUCUUUGAACGUUUCUAUUGCGAAUGGAAUCAUGAAGACGAGGUGGAGGCGGGGAAUGUGUCGGCCAGUGGUAGUUUCUGCUGCUGAGGAGGGGAGCUCAAGCUUCAAGUCGGAUAGGAAAAGAGAAGUUGUGGAACACAUAUGUCUGCUUAAAGCAAAGGAGAAUUUAUCUGAGGAGGAAGAGAAGGAUAUGCUGGAUUUUCUUUAUACGACCCAAUAUCAAAUGCGUGGCAUUGUUGCAAUAUCAUUAGGACGUAUCUCAGAAGAAAAUAUCGAAAAUUACACCCAUGCUCUCUACAUGCGCUUCCAAAGAAAAGAAGACCUUGCAAAGUUCUAUGAGAACGUUUUCUACUUGGGAGUUCUCAAAGAGCAUGUUAUGCCUUACUGCCAUGGGUUAAUUAAUGUGGAUUUUGAAGCUGAAGUAGAAGAUGAUAUUCUAUCCAUAUUUCGGAAGGGAGAGGAAUUCAACUACGGUCUAGAGUUUGUGCUUUUGAUUUCAUUUGUUAGUGAUGCAAUUGGUGGAGCUGCUGAACAUGCAUUGGCUUCUCUUGCAAGGCUGACAAUUGGGUUUCCAUCCUUAAUUGUCCAAUCCACUCGAGGUCUCAAUUUAAAUCUCAGCAGUAAGGAAUAUACACAUGGAAUGGUGAUACGGUUUCGGUCGCUUGAGGCCUUUGGGAUAUUUAUGGGCAGCUCAGAAUACAAAGAUGUAAGGGGCCUAAAAUUUUCAAAUCAAGAGUCUUAUUUAAAUUCCUAUUCAAGCUGUCUUAGAUUUAUCUUGUUAAAGAGAUUAGGCUGCAAGACUCUUAAAUUAACUUUUGAUUGAGAAAACAGAUAUGGAGGUCUAAAUUCCAGCCAAUCACCCAGAAAAUACUCUCCAUUCAUUUUUCUAUAGAUCCAGUGGGCACUGAGAUCAUGUAGCGAGGAUACUUCACGGUUUCAAUUUUGGAAGGCAUUCUAGCCAGUUUGUUCAACUUUCUAGGAGUUGCAGGCCAGCUCUUCUUCCUCUUUCUUUAUUUUUUUUUUUUUUUUUUUUUUUUUUUUUUUUAGGCUGGGAGGUGGGUGGGUUAUUAUGAACUUAUGCUAAUGCUUCUUUCUGUAUUCUUUGCUUCCCAUUUCCCAUUUAUUGUUGUAGGUAUGUUUCACUAACCAAUGUCCCAUCUCACACUUGUAUGGUCGUGUUCUUCAAAGUUUAGGUACUCAUUUCUUGUUGCAUGUCUUUUCAACAAGGGGUCAUAUACAUUUAAAAAGUUGUUUCUUGCUUGUUGACUAUAUAACUGCACAGCGCACACAGUAUGUGCCAGGACAAAAACAUGAGUUUUGGUUGAAAGUCUGUCUCUCUUAUCCAAAAGGAAAAUGCCAUUCAUGUACUUUGCAUCAGGACCAGCUACUAGGUUCUUGAUCUGUCCUACAGAACCCUGGUAGGAAGCAACACAUUGGAUGAUACUUUGAAGCUAAUCAGUGCCAUUGUCGGAGAAUGGAGGAAAGGAAGUACCUUGGAAGAAAAUCUCUCCUCUCUACUUCUAGUUAUUUGUGGUAUAAUUUAGAGUUUGAGUCAUAUCAUGAGAUGAACAUUUCUGUACGAGGACCCCCAUUGAUUGAUCAUUCUGAUUUGUCCUCCAAGUACUUGCGUGCUAACUUGGUUUCUAUCUGAUACUCCAAUAAGCAUAAUAGAUUUUAUAUAGGCAGUUGCAUAUAUAAUGAACAGUGUCGUAUUCAUUCUUGAUCUUUACUCAAGGAGGUCACAACUUGCAUCA